GAUGAACGCUGGCGGUAUGCUUAACACAUGCAAGUCGAACGGACUCUUCGGAGUUAGUGGCGGACGGGUGAGUAACGCGUGAGAAUCUGGCUUUGGGUUCGGGACAACCACUGGAAACGGUGGCUAAUACCGGAUGUGCCGAGAGGUAAAAGAGAAAUUGCCUGAAGAUGAGCUCGCGUCUGAUUAGCUAGUUGGUGAGGUAAAGGCUCACCAAGGCAGCGAUCAGUAGCUGGUCUGAGAGGAUGACCAGCCACACUGGGACUGAGACACGGCCCAGACUCCUACGGGAGGCAGCAGUGGGAAAUUUUCCGAAAGGGGCGAAAGCCUGACGGAGCAAUACCGCGUGAGGGAAGAAGGCUCUUGGGUUGUAAACCUCUUUUCUUAGGGAAGAACAAAAUGACGGUACCUAAGGAAUCAGCAUCGGCUAACUCCGUG
rnacentral:rRNA from 1 species